rnacentral:rRNA from 1 species
UACGUAGGGGGCAAGCGUUGUCCGGAAUCAUUGGGCGUAAAGCGCGUGUAGGCGGUCCGGUAAGUCCGCUGUGAAAGUCCAGGGCUCAACCCUGGGAUGCCGGUGGAUACUGUCGGGCUAGAGUACGGAAGAGGCGAGUGGAAUUCCCGGUGUAGCGGUGAAAUGCGCAGAUAUCGGGAGGAACACCAAUUGCGAAGGCAGCUCGCUGGGACGUUACUGACGCUGAGACGCGAAA